GUAGACGGCCAUCUUAGGCUGAAGCACAUAUCGCGUCUGCUCUGUGAAGUUAAGCAGCCUCAGCUCGGGUGAGUACUCGGUGGUGACCACCGGGGAGAGUCCCGGUGCUUACUUUU
rfam:Phytophthora infestans T30-4 supercont1.52 genomic scaffold, whole genome shotgun sequence.